AUUUAGUGACUGAAAGCAAGUAAUGGUCUCUUAAACCAACCAAUGGUACCCGCA
rnacentral:tRNA from 1 species